ACCUGGGCUCUUUGGUGGGACUAAUGGGAGACUCUGGGAGGGCUCAUGCCAAGGAGUACUUCCCAGAACUUCUGCUGCCAGUGUCCCUGUCCUCACGAUGAUACACAACCACCCCCGGCUCUGCAGGAGACCCUCCAACACUAGCAGAUAGAGUGGAAAGUAACAGAUCAUUCUAAGUGAUACUCAAACAAUCCUGAUAAAAGCAGCCUGUACACUGAAUUCUGUGCUGAAGCCACCACUAGAAAAAAGAAAGAAAGAAAGAAAGAAAAAGCUAAUAACAAAAGGGAAAGAUGCGUGUGCAUUAAAAAACUGGAAUCUUAGGGAAGUGAUGCCUCUUAUCCAAGGUCUCCAAUGGUGGGUGAUCAGGAAUCAUGUCAUGGUAGGUUCACAGAAGAACAGUCAGACAGAGUCUUUCUAUGAUGCCUCUCAAAAUUAUUCAUUUUUAAAGUUUUGGCUUAUUAUUUUGUCUGAAUAUAUUCAGUAUCAUUCAUUUAUUUAUUCCAAUAUUUAUCAUUUAUUCAUACAAUAUUUAUGUUUUACAUACCAUCUAUGGGGCACUGUAUUAGUAUCUGGGAGUGAAAUAAAACUUGACUACUCUUUUCAAGGAAGUUCUGGUUAGAAAUGAGAGGCUGAAAUAUACAGAUACUGCCAUUAAAUGCUUUCUUUUUUUAAAAGCUUUGUUGAGGUAUAAUUUACAUAUAAUAAAAUGUAACCAUUGAAAAUAUAUAAUAGUUUGAUGAAUUUUCACAAACUUACACAUUCGUGUAACUACACUACAGUCAUAGAAUAUUUCCAUCACCUCAAAAACUGUCGUGUUUACCACCACCCAGUGCUGAUUCCAUGCCCCCAGCAACUACUGAUCUUUCUGUGUUCGUAGAUUAAUUUUGCCUGUUCAAGUAUUUCAUGUAAAUUAACCAUACAGUGGGUACUCUUUAGCAUCUUACUGUUUUGCUCAGAAUAAUGUUUUUGAGAUUCAUUUAUGUUGUUGCAGGUCUCAGUAAUUUAUUCCAUUUUAUUGCUGAGUAGUGUUUUCACUGUAAGGAAUGACACAGUUUGUUUAUCAACUUAUCUCUUGAUGGGAACUUGAGUUGUUUCCAGUUUUAGACUCUAAGGAAUAAAGCUACUGUGCAUACCAGACUUUAUGUAGAUGUAUGUUUUAAUUUCUCUUAGGUGUAAAACUGCUGCAUCAUGGUGAAUGUAUAUUUAAAAGAAACUGACAAAAUGACUUCCAAAGUGAUUGGACUUACCAUUUUAUAUUCCCACCAGUAAUAUAAGAGAGUUUCAGUCACUGAAUGUUUUGCCAACACUUGAAAUAGUCAAUCCUUUUCAUUUUAAGCAUUUUAGUCAGUAUGUAGUGGUACUUAAUUAUGAUUUUAAUUUGCCUUUCCCUAAUGACUAGUGAUGUUGAACAUCUUAUCAUCUCUUUAUUAGUCUUUCAUAUAUCUUCUCUGAUAAGUGACUUUAGAUCUUUUGCCAUUUUUGUAGGGUUCUUUUCUUACUUAAUAUUGAGUUGUACAAGUUCCUAUACACUUACAUUAUUGGUCCCAAAUUCUUUGUCAUAUCAUGCAAUACAAAUAAUACAAAAAAAUUCUCCCAGUGUGUGCCUUGCUUUUUCAUUUUAUUAAUAAUGUCUUUCAAAGGUCAGAAGUUUUUAACUUUUACA